rnacentral:rRNA from 1 species
UACGAAGGGGCUAGCGUUGCUCGGAAUUACUGGGCGUAAAGCGCACGUAGGCGGCUUCUUAAGUCGGUGGUGAAAUCCUGGAGCUCAACUCCAGAACUGCCUUCGAUACUGGGAGCUCGAGUCCGGGAGAGGUGAGUGGAACUGCGAGUGUAGAGGUGAAAUUCGUAGAUAUUCGCAAGAACACCAGUGGCGAAGGCGGACUCACUGGCCCGGUACUGACGCUGAGGUGCGAAAGCGUGGG